rnacentral:rRNA from 1 species
UACGGGGGGAGCAAGCGUUGUUCGGAUUUACUGGGCGUAAAGGGCGCGUAGGCGGCCACCGCAAGUCGACUGUGAAAUCUCCGGGCUUAACCCGGAAAGGUCAGCCGAUACUGCGGGGCUAGAGUACAGAAGGGGCAACUGGAAUUCUCGGUGUAGCGGUGAAAUGCGUAGAUAUCGGGAGGAACACCAGUGGCGAAGGCGACUACCUGGCCUGUUCUUGACGCUGAGGCGCGAAAGCUAGGGGAGCAAACGGG